CGCUCGUAGCUCAACCGGAUAGAGCAUCGGCCUUCUAAGCCGACGGUUGCAGGUUCUUAGUUCUGGUGGAGUGA
rnacentral:tRNA from 1 species